UUGAAUGCAUACCAUCUAAAAAGGGAAUCAACUCAUCCCUUGUACGUUCAGGACCUAAAGCGAGAGCAAUUGUCGAUAACCGUUCCAAAGCAUUGAGCCUAUAAGUAAUUUCAUCAUGCUUUAACAAUAGUCAGAGUUGAACAUAUCAGACGUAAAACAAUUUGUUACCAACCUUUAACUCAUCAAUCAAAACAGCAAUCGGAUACAAAUCGUUCACUUGCUAUAAAUAGUCGUGGUUAAUAAAUUGUAAAAGAGACAUUUUGUAACACACAUUCUCUGUUUGCAUUUUAUAUAAUAGAACAACUCGUUCUUAGCAAACAAGCAAAUAAAGUGGGUAGGAAGUUUUAAACUUUUCGAGGUGAAGAAGGAGUGUGUGUUACAGCGGACGCUACCAAAUUGAAACAG